AUUGAACGCUGGCGGCAUGCUUUACACAUGCAAGUCGAACGGUAACAGGCCGCAAGGUGCUGACGAGUGGCGAACGGGUGAGUAAUGCAUCGGAACGUGCCCAGUCGUGGGGGAUAACGCAGCGAAAGCUGCGCUAAUACCGCAUACGAUCUAUGGAUGAAAGCGGGGGACCGAAAGGCCUCGCGCGAUUGGAGCGGCCGAUGUCAGAUUAGGUAGUUGGUGGGGUAAAGGCCACCAAGCCAACGAUCUGUAGCUGGUCUGAGAGGACGACCAGCCACACUGGGACUGAGACACGGCCCAGACUCCUACGGGAGGCAGCAGUGGGGAAUUUUGGACAAUGGGCGCAAGCCUGAUCCAGCAAUGCCGCGUGCAGGAAGAAGGCCUUCGGGUUGUAAACUGCUUUUGUACGGAACGAAACGGUCCGGGUUAAUACCCUGGGCUAAUGACGGUACCGUAAGAAUAAGCACCGGCUAACUACGUGCCAGCCGCCGCAGUAAAAC
rnacentral:rRNA from 1 species